CCUACGGGUGGCAGCAGUGGGGGAUAUUGCACAAUGGGGGAAACCCUGAUGCAGCGACGCCGCGUGUGGGAAGACGGUCCUCUGGAUUGUAAACCACUGUCCCCAGGGACGAAGAUGACGUUACCUGGGAAGGAAGCUCCGGCAAAUUACGUCCCAGCACCCGCGGUAAUAGGUAGGGAGCGAGCGUUGUCCGGAAUUCCUGGGGGUAAGGGGAGCGUGGGCGGGACGGCAAGUUGGGUGUAAAAUCUACCGGCUCAACCGGUAGCCGCACUCAAAACUGCAGUUCUUGAGUGAAGUAGAGGCAGGCGGAAUUCCUAGUGUAGCGGUGAAAUGCGUAGAUAUUAGGAGGAACACCAGUGGCGAAGGCGGCCUGCUGGGCUUUGACUGACGCUGAGGCUCGAAAGUGUGGGGAGCAAACAGGAUUAGAUACCCGGGUAGUC
rnacentral:rRNA from 1 species